rnacentral:misc_RNA from 1 species
GAUGAAGAACGCAGCGAAACGCGAUAGUUAAUGUGAAUUGCAGAAUUCAGUGAAUCAUCGAGUCUUUGAACGCACAUUGCGCCCCCUGGUAUUCCGGGGGGCAUGCCUGUCCGAGCGUCAUUGCUGCCCAUCAAGCGCGGCUUGUGUGUUGGGCCGCCGUCCGCCUUCCCCCCCGGGGGGAGGGGGACGGGCCCGAAAGGCAGCGGCGGCACCGCGUCCGGUCCUCGAGCGUAUGGGGCUCUGUCACCCGCUCUGGAGGCCCGGCCGGCGCCCGCCGACCCCCAACCUUCUUCUAACCAGGUUGACCUCGGAUCAGGUAGGGAUACCCGCUGAACUUAAGCAUAUCAAUAACGGAGGA